CCUACGGGAGGCAGCAGUGAGGAAUAUUGGUCAAUGGACGAGAGUCUGAACCAGCCAAGUAGCGUGAAGGAUGACUGCCCUAUGGGUUGUAAACUUCUUUUAUAUGGGAAUAAAAUGUUCCACGUGUGGGAUUUUGUAUGUACCAUAUGAAUAAGGAUCGGCUAACUCCGUGCCAGCAGCCGCGGUAAUACGGAGGAUCCGAGCGUUAUCCGGAUUUAUUGGGUUUAAAGGGAGCGUAGGUGGAUUGUUAAGUCAGUUGUGAAAGUUUGCGGCUCAACCGUAAAAUUGCAGUUGAAACUGGCAGUCUUGAGUACAGUAGAGGUGGGCGGAAUUCGUGGUGCAGCGGUGAAAUGCUUAGAUAUCACGAAGAACUCCGAUUGCGAAGGCAGUUCACUGGACUGCAACUGACACUGAGGCUCGAAAGUGUGGGUAUCAAACAGGAGUAGAUACCCCAGUAGUC
rnacentral:rRNA from 1 species